rnacentral:rRNA from 1 species
GACGAACGCUGGCGGCGUGCCUAAUACAUGCAAGUAGAACGAGUUGCGAACGGGUGAGUAACGCGUGGUAACCUGCCUCAUAGCGGGGGAUAACUAUUGGAAACGAUAGCUAAUACCGCAUACCAUCAGAUGUGCCCAGAUGGGCUUAGCUAGUUGGUGGGGGAAAGGCUCACCAAGGCGACGAUCCCUAGGUGGUCUGAGAGGAGGACCAGCCACACUGGAACUGAGACACGGUCCAGACUCCUACGGUAGGCAGCAGGUGGGAAUAUUGCACAAUGGGCGCAAGCCUGAUGCAGCCAUGCCGCGUGUAUGAAGAAGGCCUUCGGGUUGUAAAGUACUUUCAGCGGGGAGGCGUUACCCGCAGAAGAAGCACCGGCUAACUCCGUGCCAGCCGCCGCGGUAAUAC